rnacentral:rRNA from 1 species
AUGCAAGUCGAGCGAGAAACCUUCGGGUUUCUAGCGGCGGACGGGUGAGUAACACGUGGGUAACCUGCCUCAAAGAGGGGAAUAGCCUCCCGAAAGGGAGAUUAAUACCGCAUAAUAUUAAAGUUUCACAUGGAGCUUUAAUUAAAGGAGUAAUCCGCUUUGAGAUGGACCCGCGGCGCAUUAGCUAGUUGGAGAGGUAACGGCUCACCAAGGCGACGAUGCGUAGCCGACCUGAGAGGGUGAUCGGCCACAUUGGAAACUGAGACACGGUCCAGACUCCUACGGGAGGCAGCAGUGGGGAAUAUUGCACAAUGGGCGAAAGCCUGAUGCAGCAACGCCGCGUGAGUGAUGACGGUCUUCGGAUUGUAAAGCUCUGUCUUUGGGACGAUAAUGACGGUACCAAAGGAGGAAGCCACGGCUAACUACGUGCCAGCAGCCGCGGUAAUACGUAGGUGGCAAGCGUUGUCCGGAUUUACUGGGCGUAAAGGAUGUGUAGGCGGAUACUUAAGUGAGAUGUGAAAGCCCCGGGCUCAACCUGGGGACUGCAUUUCAAACUGGGUAUCUAGAGUG